rnacentral:rRNA from 1 species
GACGAACGCUGGCGGCGUGCUUAACACAUGCAAGUCGAACGGAAAGGCCCUGCUUGCAGGGUACUCGAGUGGCGAACGGGUGAGUAACACGUGGGUGAUCUGCCCUGCACUUCGGGAUAAGCCUGGGAAACUGGGUCUAAUCCCGGAUAGGAGCCAGUUUUAGUGUGAUGGUUGGAAAGUUUUUUCGGUGUAGGAUGAGCUCGCGGCCUAUCAGCUUGUUGGUGGGGUAAUGGCCUACCAAGGCGGCGACGGGUAGCCGGCCUGAGAGGGUGGACGGCCACAUUGGGCCUGCGUUCGGUCCAGACUCCUCCGGGCGGCAGCAGUGGGGAUUAUUGCACAAUGGGCGCAAGCCUGAUGCAGCGACGCCACGUGGGUGAUGACGGCCUUCGGCUUGUAAACUCCUUUCGCUAGGGACGAAGCUUUUUGUGACGGUACCUAGAUAAGAAGCACCGGCUAACUACGUG